UACGGGGGGGGCAAGCGUUGUUCGGAAUUACUGGGCGUAAAGGGCUCGUAGGCGGCCAACUAAGUCGGAUGUGAAAUCCCCAGGCUCAACUUGGGAACUGCAUCCGAUACUGGAUGGCUUGAAUUCGGGAGAGGGAUGCAGAAUUCCAGGCGUAGCGGUGAAAUGCGUAGAUAUCUGGAGGAACACCGGUGGCGAAGGCGGUUCUCUGGGCCUUACCUGACGCUGAGGAGCGAAAGCGUGGGGAGCGAACAGG
rnacentral:rRNA from 1 species